rnacentral:rRNA from 1 species
ACAUGCAAGUCGAACGGAGUAGCAAUACUUAGUGGCAGACGGGUGAGUAACAUGUAGGUAUCUGCCCUUUGGCCUGGAAUAACACGAGGAAACUUGUGCUAAUACCGGAUAAGUCUUUACGGAGAAAGCUUUAUGCACCAUUGGAUGAGCCUGCACUUGAUUAGUUUGUUGGUGGGGUAAUGGCCUACCAAGACUUUGAUCAAUAGCUGAUUUGAGAGGAUGAUCAGCCACAUUGGGACUGAGACACGGCCCAAACUCCUACGGGAGGCAGCAGUGGGGAAUCUUGCACAAUGGAGGAAACUCUGAUGCAGCGAUGCCGCGUGAGUGAAGAAGGCCCUUGGGUUGUAAAGCUCUUUCGUCGGGGAAGAAAAUGACUGUACCCGAAUAAGAAGGUCCGGCUAACUUCGUGCCAGCAGCCGCGGUAAUACGAAGGGACCUAGCGUAGUUCGGAAUUACUGGGCUUAAAGAGUUCGUAGGUGGUUGAAAAAGUUGGUGGUGAAAUCCCAGAGCUUAACUCUGGAACUGCCAUCAAAACUUUUCAGCUAGAGUUUGAUAGAGGAAAGCAGAAUUUCUAGUGUAGAGGUGAAAUUCGUAGAUAUUAGAAAGAAUACCAAUUGCGAAGGCAGCUUUCUGGAUCAUUACUGACACUGAGGAACGAAAGCAUGGGUAGCGAAGAGGAUUAGAUACCCUCGUAGUCCAUGCCGUAAACGAUGUGUGUUAGACGUUGGAAAUUUAUUUUCAGUGUCGCAGCGAAAGCAAUAAACACACCGCCUGGGGAGUACGACC